rnacentral:rRNA from 2 species
AAAUUGAAGAGUUUGAUCAUGGCUCAGAUUGAACGCUGGCGGCAGGCCUAACACAUGCAAGUCGAACGGUAGCACAGAGAGCUUGCUCUCGGGUGACGAGUGGCGGACGGGUGAGUAAUGUCUGGGAAACUGCCUGAUGGAG